GCAAACUUGGUCAUUUAGAGGAAGUAAAAGUCGUAACAAGGUUUCCGUAGGUGAACCUGCGGAAGGAUCAUUAACGAGUUUUAAACAAAAAUGGGUGAGGUUGUAGCUGGUUUCUUCUUGCGGAGAGACAUGUGCACGCUUCGCUUGUUUUUCCACCUCUCACACCUUUGUGCACUUUCUCACAGGCUGGACUUGAAGACUUUUGUUGAAAGACAAAGUGUCUUGGUUUCGUCUGUGUGUUUUGAAUCACAAACUUUUUGUCAGUUUCAGAAUGUACUUGCUUGUGCAACAAAAUUGCAUACUUUUAAAUACAACUUUCAGCAACGGAUCUCUUGGCUCUCGCAUCGAUGAAGAACGCAGC
rnacentral:misc_RNA from 1 species